rnacentral:rRNA from 1 species
AGCUUGCUCCCGGAUGUUAGCGGCGGACGGGUGAGUAACACGUGGGUAACCUGCCUGUAAGACUGGGAUAACUCCGGGAAACCGGAGCUAAUACCGGAUAGUUCCUUGAACCGCAUGGUUCAAGGAUGAAAGACGGUUUCGGCUGUCACUUACAGAUGGACCCGCGGCGCAUUAGCUAGUUGGUGGGGUAAUGGCUCACCAAGGCGACGAUGCGUAGCCGACCUGAGAGGGUGAUCGGCCACACUGGGACUGAGACACGGCCCAGACUCCUACGGGAGGCAGCAGUAGGGAAUCUUCCGCAAUGGACGAAAGUCUGACGGAGCAACGCCGCGUGAGUGAUGAAGGUUUUCGGAUCGUAAAGCUCUGUUGUUAGGGAAGAACAAGUGCGAGAGUAACUGCUCGCACCUUGACGGUACCUAACCAGAAAGCCACGGCUAACUACGUGCCAGCAGCCGCGGUAAUACGUAGGUGGCAAGCGUUGUCCGGAAUUAUUGGGCGUAAAGGGCUCGCAGGCGGUUUCUUAAGUCUGAUGUGAA